CAGCAGUGGGGAAUAUUGCACAAUGGGGGAAACCCUGAUGCAGCGACGCCGCGUGGAGGAAGAAGGUCUUCGGAUUGUAAACUCCUGUUGUUGAGGAAGAUAAUGACGGUACUCAACAAGGAAGUGACGGCUAACUACGUGCCAGCAGCCGCGGUAAAACGUAGGUCACAAGCGUUGUCCGGAAUUACUGGGUGUAAAGGGAGCGCAGGCGGGAAGACAAGUUGGAAGUGAAAUCCAUGGGCUCAACCCAUGAACUGCUUUCAAAACUGUUUUUCUUGAGUAGUGCAGAGGUAGGCGGAAUUCCCGGUGUAGCGGUGGAAUGCGUAGAUAUCGGGAGGAACACCAGUGGCGAAGGCGGCCUACUGGGCACCAACUGACGCUGAGGCUCGAAAGUGUGGGUAGCAAACAGGAUUAGAUACCCUGGUAGUCCACACCGUAAACGAUGAUUACUAGGUGUUGGAGGAUUGACCCCUUCAGUGCCGCAGUUAACACAAUAAGUAAUCCACCUGGGGAGUACGACCGCAAGGUUGAAACUCAAAGGAAUUGACGGGGGCCCGCACAAGCAGUGGAGUAUGUGGUUUAAUUCGAAGCAACGCGAAGAACCUUACCAGGUCUUGACAUCGUAUGCAUAGUCUAGAGAUAGAUGAAAUCCCUUCGGGGACAUAUAGACAGGUGGUGCAUGGUUGUCGUCAGCUCGUGUCGUGAGAUGUUGGGUUAAGUCCCGCAACGAGCGCAACCCUUAUGGUCAGUUACUACGCAAGAGGACUCUGGCCAGACUGCCGUUGACAAAACGGAGGAAGGUGGGGAUGACGUCAAAUCAUCAUGCCCCUUAUGACCUGGGCUACACACGUACUACAAUGGCAAUAAAACAGAGGGAAGCAAAACAGCGAUGUGGAGCAAAUCCCGAAAAAUUGUCUCAGUUCAGAUUGCAGGGCAGGG
rnacentral:rRNA from 1 species